rnacentral:lncRNA from 9 species
UCACAACCCUUGUUCUGUCCUUUUCCUAACAGGGACCCCCAGGACAUGUGGGACCACCGGGCCAGAUGUAAGUGGGGUGUCUGUGAAUGUCUGUGGGGGCCGACCGCUCUGACCAAGGAUCCUGUGGGGGUGGGGAGCUGCGACAGUGACAAGGAGCACAUCAUGGCCUGGGGGGGGGGACAGGUGAUGACCAUGGGGGACAGGUGAUGACCGUGGCAGCGGCACGCGAUGACACAGGGGACAGGCGAUGACCAUGGAGCCACGUGUUCGGGACCACAUCAAGUGCCCGUGUCCCAAAGGCGGGCCCUCGUGGGCAGAGCGAGAACCCCAGCCCCCCCCUGCUGUGGUCCCAGGGGUGGGGACCUGGAGGGCCUCACGCCGCUGUGUCCCCUCCCUCCCAGGAAUGCGAGAUUUUGGACAUUGUCAUGAAGAUGUGCUGUGAGUGCUUCUUGAGUAGCGUCCUCAGCCCAAGCACGUCCCGCGCUGGGCGGGCGGGGAGGCGGGGCGCGGGCUCCCCCUCCCGGGGGAAAGUCCUGAGGGCGGGGCUGGGGGGGGCUGGAGGCCUCGGUCUCACCCUCGUAACCUCUCUCUCCUCUUCCCCAGCCUGCUGUGGUGAGUGGCCCUCGCCCUGCUCGCGCGACCCUGCGGGGCCGGCCCGCCCGUCCUCUCCCCACACACCGGGGACAGGGUGGGCCCGGGUCCUCCCCUCCCUCGGGUCCUCCAGCCCCGCCCGGAGGGGUCCCGGGAGCGCCCCGAGGCUGACGGCCCGCCGCCCACAGAGUGCACGUGCGGCCCCAUCGACAUCCUCUUCGUGCUGGACAGCUCUGAGAGCAUCGGCCUGCAGAACUUCGAGAUCGCCAAGGACUUCAUCGUCAAGUUUGAGCCUGGGCAGUCCCAUGCGGGCGUAGUGCAGUACAGUCACAACCAGAUGCAGGAGCACGUGGACCUGAGGGACCCCAACAUCAGGAACGCCCAGGACCUCAAGGAAGCCAUCAAGAAGCUGCAGUGGAUGGGCGGAGGCACGUUCACGGGCGAGGCCCUGCAGUACACCCGGAGCCAGCUGCUGCCCCCACUCAGAACAACCGGAUCGCCCUGGUCAUCACGGACGGCCGCUCAGACACCCAGAGGACACCACCCCGCUGAGCGUGCUCUGCGGCCCGACAUCCAGGUGCGGCCACGGCGCCCUGGAGCACGAGGGGGACGGUCCCGCCAAGGGCCGUGCCAACGCUGUGCCUCCCCCCAGGUGGUCUCCGUGGGCAUCAAGGAUGUGUUUGGCUUAGCCGCGAGCUCCGACCAACUCAACGUCAUUUCCUGCCAAGGCCUGGUGACCCCGGGGCGGCCGGGCAUCUCGCUGGUCAAGGAGAACUACGCAGAGCUGCUGGACGACGCCUUCCUGAAAACAUCACCACCCAGAUCUGCAUAGGUGGGCGCGGGGUCCCCCGGCCGAGGCGGCUCCGCGCCCACCCUGUGCCUCUGUCCUGGAAUCAGGC